rnacentral:rRNA from 1 species
GUGAAUUGCAAGACACAUUGGCCCUUUUUCGGGCUGCGGAACACCUUACUUACUGAACGUUUAACACGCUUUGUGGACUAAUCUCAUGGACU